AGAGAGUGCAAGCGUUAAUCGGAAUUACUGGGCGUAAAGCGCGCGUAGGUGGAUAUUUAAGUCGGAUGUGAAAGCCCUGGGCUUAACCUAGGAACUGCAUCCGAUACUGGGUAUCUAGAGUAUGGUAGAGGGUAGUGGAAUUUCCGGUGUAGCGGUGAAAUGCGUAGAUAUCGGAAAGAACACCAGUGGCGAAGGCGGCUACCUGGACCAAUACUGACACUGAGGUGCGAAAGCGUGGGGAGCAAACAGGAUUAGAGACCCUGGUAGUCCACGCCGUCAACGAUGAGAACUGGCUGUUGGGAGGGACUUCCCUCUUAGUAGCGAAGCUAACGCGUUAAGUUCUCCGCCUGGGGAUACGGCCGCAAGGUUA
rnacentral:rRNA from 1 species